rnacentral:ncRNA from 1 species
AUCUUCAGGGCAGGGUGCAAGUCCCUACCGGUGGUAUAGCCCACGAGCCGCAAGGCAUGAUUCGGUGACCUCAAUUUUUUGACAGAAAGGGGAAUUCCGAAGCCGACAGUAUAGUCUGGAUGAAAGAAGAUA